GCCUGGAUAGCUCAGCUGGUUAGAGCACGGCACUGAUAAAGCCAAGGUUGCAGGUUUGCAUGGGACGGCUGCGAAUUCCUGCAUUGCAGGGGGUUCA